rnacentral:lncRNA from 1 species
AUGCGGAAUAUGUCAUUUAGUAAUGGGGAAACAGAGAGGCAGUGUCAUUUGAUCAAAAUCAUAAUUGCAGAUGAUAUGUACCACCACCACCACCACGUAAGAACAGUUGUCUAAAACAUUUUAACUGUUGUGAUAGAAUCAUCCCCCAGCUUAGUUUUAGAUGACUAUAAUCCUUUAUCUGUAUGCCUUUCGAUUUUCAUGCCCUUUUGUUUUGAGCUUUUCAUACCAUAUUUUCUGUAGGCCUUAUCUGUAAUUAGC